CCUACGGGAGGCAGCAGUGGGGAAUAUUGGGCAAUGGGCGAAAGCCUGACCCAGCAACGCCGCGUGAAGGAAGAAGGCAUUCGGGUUGUAAACUUCCUUUCUGAGGGACGAAGAAAGUGACGGUACUUCAGGAAUAAGUCUCCGUUAACAACGAGCCAGCAGUCGCGGUAUUACGUGGGCGGCAAUCGUUCGCCGGAUUUAUUGGGUGUAAAGGUCGUGUAGGCGGGAAAGCAAGUCAGGUGUGAAAACUCAGGGCUCAACCCUGGGCCUGCAUUUGAAACUGGUUUUCUUGAGUGCUGGAGAAGUAAUCGGAAUGCGGGGUGUAGCGGUGAAAUGCGUAGAUAUACAGAAGAACCCCGGUGGCGAAGGCGGAUUGCUGGACAGUAACUGACGCUGAGGCGCGAAAGCGUGGGUAGCAAACAGGAUUAGAUACCCGUGUAGUC
rnacentral:rRNA from 1 species